AAGAAGACAGAAACAUCACCUCGCGUGUUCUGCGGUAACCGGAGACUGCUUCGAGGAGCAGGGGGUGCGGGUAUCGCAAGGUCUUUCAAAGGAGAUGGCCUCAAACACCAAAGUCAUGGUGAUAUGGGGCCAAGAUGCCGUGGUUGGAGGUACAAUGCCCUGAUACGACUUCCUGUGGAAGGAUGACAAGGGCCUGCAUGCAGAUUUUCUUCUUGGUUUUCAACUUAGGGACGUCUAUAUUUUCUGUAUCUACAAUUUUUCAGUGCUAAUAAUAUAAGCAUGAUGCCCUUUAAAACCAGUGGAAGUUCAAGAGUCACAGCAAGAAAAUGAAGAGUAGGAAGAAGAAAUUUAGGUACAACUAUUUUCUUCAGUAUAUUGUGUCCUUCUUUUUUGGUUGUUGCUGAGGAAGAUUUUCACUGAGCUAACAUCUGUUGCCAAUCUUCCUCUUUUUGUAUGUGAGCUG
rnacentral:lncRNA from 1 species